rnacentral:rRNA from 1 species
UUACGCUGUUAUCCCUAAGGUAAUUUAGUCUUAUAAUCAUUAAAAAUGGAUCAAAAACUUAUAAAUAAAUAUAAAAAAAUAAAAAGAGUUAUAUUAAUCUUCCCAUCACCCCAACAAAAUUCAAAUAAUACUAAAAAUCUUAUCCCACAAAAAAUAAAAAUCGAAUUAAACUCUAUAGGGUCUUCUCGUCCCACAAAAAUAUUUAGGCAUUUUAACCUAAAAUUUAAAUUCAACAAAAUAAAAAUUUAAGAAAGUAAAUACCUCGUCAAACCUUUCAUACAAGCAUUCAAUUAAAAAACUAAUGAUUAUGCUACCUUUGCACAGUCAAAAUACUGCGGCCAUUUUAAAAUCAGUGGGCAGGCAAUACUUCAAAUAAAUACAAGAAGAGAUGUUUUUGUUAAACAGGCG